rnacentral:rRNA from 1 species
UACGAAGGGGGCGAGCGUUGUUCGGAUUUACUGGGCGUAAAGGGCGCGCAGGCGGCUUUGUUUGUCAGGCGUGAAAGCCCCGGGCUUAACCUGGGAACUGCGUUCGAUACGGCAGGGCUAGAGUUCGGGAGAGGAGAGUGGAAUUCCCAGUGUAGAGGUGAAAUUCGUAGAUAUUGGGAAGAACACCGGUGGCGAAGGCGGCUCUCUGGACCGAUACUGACGCUGAGGCGCGAAAGCGUGGGGAGCAAACAGG